GCACUGUCAACUCAUCCUGUCCCUGCUGUGCAGUGCAGGGACUGGUCAAUAGGUGCUAGAGAAAUGCAGAGGAAAUCCAGACGGAGCAUAAUUUAUCUAGUGUUCGGUCUCUACACCUCUUCUACACUU